UGAUUGUUGCUGGUCUCCGGAUGGGGGGGGGGGGGCUCUGGGGGUGGUCCCCUCACACCUGUGCACCUUCUGUAGUUCUGUGGCUUGGGGGACUUGUCCUCCUGCUGUGGUUCUGCAUCUUUGCACUCACACUGGGAUCAAGUCUAAUGGAAUGCGUGCCGCGUUUAACGCAAUACGAUACAACUUUCAGCAACGGAUCUCUUGGCUCUCGCAUCGAUGAAAAACGCACCGAAAUGCGAUAAGUAAUGUGAAUUGCAGAAUUCAGUGAAUCAUCGAAUCUUUGAACGCACCUUGCGCCCUUUGGCUAUUCCCAAGGGCAUGCCUGUUUGAGGAUCAUGAACAUCUCACCUCCUCACGGUUAUCCCGUGAUGAGCUUGGACUUUGGGGGUCUUGCUGGCCUGCACGUCGGCUCCUCUCAAAUGAAUCACCUUGCCACUGUUUGGUGGCGUCACAGGUGUGAUAACUAUCUACGCUUGUGGUUUUCUGCCACGCAACCUCCACCAAUGGGAACUCACUGGACUCACAAAUGUCUCUCCUCGGUGAGAACAGCUCUUUGAACGUUUGAUCUCAAAUCACGUAUGACUACCCGCUGA
rnacentral:rRNA from 1 species